GUCCACGGUCAUACCACCCUGAACACGCCCGAUCUCAUCUGAUCUCGGAAGCUAAGCAGGGUUGGGCCUAGUUAGUACUUGGAUGGGAAGAAAGAGAUUUAUGUCACUGUUUAUU
ensembl:rRNA 5S_rRNA 5S ribosomal RNA